GACGAACGCUGGCGGCGUGGAUUAGGCAUGCAAGUCGAACGGUAUCAUCCUUUCGGGGGUGAGAGAGUGGCGAACUGGUGAGUAACACGUAGGUUAUCUACCCUCAAGACGGGGACAACCCAGGGAAACUUGGGCUAAUACCGGAUGUGAGCAACUUUUAGUUGUUUGAAAGGUGGCGUAAGCUGUCGCUUGGGGAUGAGCCUGCGUCCUAUUAGUUAGUUGGUGAGGUAACGGCUCACCUAGGCAAUGAUAGGUAGGCGGCCUUAACGGGUGGUCGCCCACACUGGGAUUGAGAUACGGCCCAGACUCCUACGGGAGCAGCAGUCGAGAAUAGUCUACAAUGGUCGGAAGACUGAUAGUGCGACGCCGCGUGAACGAUGAAUCCCUUCGGGGUUAAAGUUCUUUUAUAUGUGAGCAGUGCUUCUUAUAUUAACAGUAUGGGGAGAGAGAUAUUAGCAUAUGAAUAAGCAACGGCUAACUCCGUGCCAGCAGCCGCGGUAAAA
rnacentral:rRNA from 1 species